GAUGAACGCUGGCGGCGUGCCUAAUACAUGCAAGUCGAGCGGACGGACGAGAAGCUUGCGUCUCUGAUGUUAGCGGCGGACGGGUGAGUAACACGUGGAUAACCUACCUAUAAGACUGGGAUAACUUCGGGAAACCGGAGCUAAUACCGGAUGAUAUUUUGAACCGCAGGGUUCAAAAGUGAAAGACGGUCUUGCUGUCACUUAUAGAUGGAUCCGCGCUGCAUUGGCUAGUUGGUAAGGUAACGGCUUACCAAGGCAACGAUGCAUAGCCGAGCUGAGAGGGUGAUCGGCCACACUGGAACUGAGACACGGUCCAGACUCCUACGGGAGGCAGCAGUAGGGAAUCUUCCGCAAUGGGCGAAAGCCUGACGCAGCAACGCCGCGUGAGUGAUGAAGGUCUUCGGAUCGUAAAGCUCUGUUAUUAGGGAAGAACAUAUGUGUAAGUAACUGUGCACAUCUUGACGGUACCUAAUCAGAAAGCCCCGGCUAACUACGUG
rnacentral:rRNA from 1 species